rnacentral:rRNA from 1 species
GCCGAGAGGUGAAAUGAAAUUCGCCUGAGGAUGAGCCCGCGUCUGAUUAGCUAGUUGGUGAGGUAAUGGCUCACCAAGGCGACGAUCAGUAGCUGGUCUGAGAGGAUGAUCAGCCACACUGGGACUGAGACACGGCCCAGACUCCUACGGGAGGCAGCAGUGGGGAAUUUUCCGCAAUGGGCGAAAGCCUGACGGAGCAACGCCGCGUGAGGGAUGAAGGCCUCUGGGCUGUAAACCUCUUUUCUCAAGGAAGAAGAUCUGACGGUACUUGAGGAAUAAGCCACGGCUAAUUCCGUGCCAGCAGCCGCGGUAAUACGGGAGUGGCAAGCGUUAUCCGGAAUUAUUGGGCGUAAAGCGUCCGCAGGCGGCCCUGUAAGUCUGCCGUCAAAGCGUGGAGCUUAACUCCAUUUCGGCAGUGGAAACUACAGGGCUUGAGUGUGGUAGGGGCAGAGGGAAUUCCCGGUGUAGCGGUGAAAUGCGUAGAUAUCGGGAAGAACACCAGUGGCGAAGGCGCUCUGCUGGGCCAUAACUGACGCUCAUGGACGAAAGCCAGGGGAGCGAAAGGGAUUAGAUACCCCUGUAGUCCUGGCCGUAAACGAUGAACACUAGGUGUCGGGGGAAUCGACCCCCUCGGUGUCGUAGCCAACGCGCUAAGUGUUCCGCCUGGGGAGUACGCACGCAAGUGUGAAACUCAAAGGAAUUGACGGGGGCCCGCACAAGCGGUGGAGUAUGUGGUUUAAUUCGAUGCAACGCGAAGAACCUUACCAGGGUUUGACAUCCUGCGAACCCCUGAGAAAUCGGGGGGUGCCUUCGGGAGCGCAGAGACAGGUGGUGCAUGGCUGUCGUCAGCUCGUGUCGUGAGAUGUUGGGUUAAGUCCCGCAACGAGCGCAACCCACGUCGUUAGUUGCCAGCAUUCAGUUGGGCACUCUAGCGAGACCGCCGGUGAUAAACCGGAGGAAGGUGUGGAUGACGUCAAGUCAUCAUGCCCCUUACAUCCUGGGCUACACACGUACUACAAUGCUACGGACAAAGGGCAGCGAACUCGCGAGGGUAAGCAAAUCCCAUAAACCGUGGCUCAGUUCAGAUCGUAGGCUGCAACUCGCCUACGUGAAGGAGGAAUCGCUAGUAAUCGCAGGUCAGCAUACUGCGGUGAAUACGUUCCCGGGCCUUGUACACACCGCCCGUCACACCAUGGAAGUUGGCCAUGCCCGAAGUCGUUACUCCAACCCUUGUGGAGGAGGACGCCGAAGGUGGGGCUGAUGACUGGGGUGAAGUCGUAACAAGGUAGCCGUACCGGAAGGUGCGGCUGGAUCACCUCCUAACAGGGAGACAAACUGAUGGUGAUGUCUGAGUAAAUUACUCUCAGGCCACUGUCCUGUCAUCUUUAGGUCGAUCGGUACCUCAUAGAACUUGGCGUUAAAAGAGUGGAAACACUCCAAAGAUCGUAUAAGUUUUAUCAGUUCCUAAACUUUGUCUAGGUCACCCCACAGUGGGUAAAUUCCUGGGCCAUUAGCUCAGGUGGUUAGAGCGCACCCCUGAUAAGGGUGAGGUCCCUGGUUCAAGUCCAGGAUGGCCCAUUCAAGUUUGGGGGUUUAGCUCAGUUGGUAGAGCGCCUGCUUUGCAAGCAGGAUGUCAGCGGUUCGAGUCCGCUAACCUCCAUCCAAUUGAAAAGCUUUACUCCUGAGAGGGCAAGCACUGCAAGGUAAAGUUGCAGUGGUCUGUUUGCAACAUAAAUGUUGCAGAUCGACCCGUGCCAGGAAACCGCAUGUGUGGAUGACCAAGACCUGUUCAGCCUGAGAAGCCUGAUGAUUUCAGCCUUCUCCAUUUCCUCUAUUAAGUAAGCUCUCCAAGAAUUUUAUCAUUUUAGGAGAAGCUUCAGAGAGAUCAGGAAUGGAGAAUGCUGAACUCUUGAUAGGGUUUGGCAGCGAACCUUGACAACUGCAUAGGUGAGUCUGGAUAAAAAGCAUCUCAUAGAUGCCUCGUCAAGCAUUAUGCCAGUAUCUUUUAUCCGAAAGGAUAAAAAGCUGGCAAUAAUCUUGAUGAGGAGAAAUUCUUGAGAAUGAGCCGAAAUCUUCUUGCUAUUUCCAUCAAUUAGAUGGAAUUCGUGGAGC